rnacentral:lncRNA from 1 species
UACAUCAAGUAAAAGAGCAGUUUUUUCCUAUCGGUGCUCUCUUUUUUUAUUAAAAAAACGGAACAUGUUUGCGCCCGUAAGAGGGGAGCGAGAGGGGUCAGAGUCUUACCCGUGGGCGCUCUCAAAAGGAGGAGAGCUAGUGGGGAUAACUAGCGACCCAUAGCAGUAGCCCUAUGAGGAUAGGAAAGAAGGGGGGGGGGGGAGGAAGGUCCCACCGAGAUACUCAGAAGGGCUACCAGCCGAGAUACUCAGCCGCGAUGAGAGGGAAGGGAGAGAAAGAGAGAAAGCAUCCCAACCGAGAAACUCAGUCGGGUCUGAAGGAGAGAAAAGAGAGUCCUCAGCCGAGAUACUCAGCCGAGAUGGAAGAGAGAGAGAGAGAGAGUCUCAGCCGAGAUGCUCAGCCGAGAUGGAAGAGAGAGAGAGAGAGAGUCUCAGCCGAGAUGCUCAGCCGAGAUGAAAGAGAGAGAGAGAGAGAGUCUCAGCCGAGAUGCUCAGCCGAGAUGAAGGAGAGAGAGAGAAAGAGUCUCAGCCGAGAUGCUCAGCCGAGAUGAAAGAGAGAGAGAAAGAAAAUCCCACCGAGAUACUCAGAAGGGCUACCAGCCGAGAUACUCAGCCGCGUUGAGAAGAAAAAGAGAAGAAAGAGAAAUCUUCCCAACCGAGAAACUCAGUCGGGUCAAGAGAAAGAGAGAGGUCCCAGCCGAGGUACUCAGCCGGGUAAAGAGAGAGAGAGAGAGAGAGAGAGCGAAAGGAAGCUCUAGGUGUUCCCGCCAGCCGAGGUACUCAGCCGGUGAGGGAAGGACAAGGAAGAGUCCAACUUGCUUUGCAGCGUAGAGAGAGGAUCUUGAUCAGGAGCGAAAGCAGAGAACUUAACUGAUCAAGCUGCGGUGAUCGAAUGAUGAUCGCACGCCUGGCGGCUGCCUUUUAUAGACGACACGCGUGGACGCGUCGGACGCGGCCGGGAGCCGCGCCGUGGGUCGGACGGACCCACGUGGCGUGUCACGUGAUCGUGAUUACGUGAUCGUGUUUACGACUGAUCGCCGGAUCGCGGUAGCGUGGCCACCAGGUAGUGCGCAUAGGUGCCG